rnacentral:lncRNA from 1 species
AUGGGAAUAGAAACUGUCGAUGAAGUUGUUGGUUGCAGUGCAAAGAUGGAGUUUCUCUUCUGGCCACAUUUGAUAGUGGUAACUAAGGAGUAACCAGGUUUAGCCGCGGCUAUGGUUCCAUCAGUGCUUAUCAAAGUGGGACAGGAAAAUCUGUAAACUUGGUCGAACGAGUCUCAAGCUCCGUGAAAAUGAUGCUACCAAGCAGAUUCCCACUAAACCUGGGACAACACAAAAAAGACAAGUCUUGAGCUCCGUGAAAAUGAUGCUACCAAGCAGAUUCCCACUACACCUGGAACAAUACAAAAAAGAAAACACUCGAACUGUACUAGAAAGCAAAAAGCAAGAACUGCUCCAAAAUCGCAGGGCAUGGCUUCUGGGACGGGAAGAGGCGAAGCGUCUGUUGGAAGUAGAACGAGAGAAGGCAGCCAAACUGGAACAGGAAAAAGGGGGGAUAUUGGUUGACCAGUAUAUUGGAUUGAAACGGAAGAGUUAUGGGCAGAAAUAGGAACCUAGAAAGCUACUGUAGUCACAAAAUUGGAGAGUGACCCAGCCAGUAUUGGUCGGUCACGGAUGUCUGCCCCACCAGUUUCAACAAUCGGUGAAUUGGAGGUGAAGGUGAGGCAACAGCAGCACCAAUUGGGAGCAACCAGGUUGUCAGGAUUCUGCAAUUGGAGGCCCAAGUUCGUGAA